AUCCAAGGUGAUUCCCUCUCCAAGGGGAACAUCCAGUGCCCCUCUCAGGAAAGUAGCAACCUGGAAUAGAAACUGGCAUGCCUAAGGCAUUUGGGGAACAGGGCUGGUUAUUUCCUCUGCCUUCCUUGGCUGCCUACAUGG
ensembl:snoRNA